rnacentral:rRNA from 1 species
UACGUAGGGUGCAAGCGUUGUCCGGAAUUAUUGGGCGUAAAGAGCUCGUAGGCGGUCUGUCGCGUCGGCUGUGAAAACCCGGGGCUCAACCCCGGGCCUGCAGUCGAUACGGGCAGACUAGAGUGCGGUAGGGGAGACUGGAAUUCCUGGUGUAGCGGUGAAAUGCGCAGAUAUCGGGAGGAACACCGGUGGCGAAGGCGGUUCUCUGGGCCUUACCUGACGCUGAGGAGCGAAAGCGUGGGGAGCGAACAGG